rnacentral:lncRNA from 1 species
AAGGGACGACCAAGACCUACCUAGGGCUGCCUUAACCCUCCUAGACCCGCCUUGAACAGCCUCGGAACGCCUUGACCCGCUUUAAGCCGCCUUGACCCUCCUCGGCCCACCUAGGGCAGCUAAGGCGGCGCCAAGACCCACCUAGGGCCGCCUUGACCCGUCUUGGGCCGCCUUGACCCUCCUCGACUCUUCUAGACCCGCCUAAGACCGCCUUGAUCCGCCUUGACCCGCCUUGGGCCUCUUUGACCUUCCUUGACCCGCCUUAGGCCGCCAUGGCCCGCCUUGAACCGCCUUGGACCGCCUUGAACCGUCUUGAACCGCUUUGGACCGCCUUUGGCAGCCUUGACCCUCCUAGACCCGCCCGCCUAGGGUUACCAAGAAGUCGCCAUGACUCGCCAAGGGGUCAAAGACCUACCUAGGGCUGUCAAGGGGCCGCCUUGACCCAUCUUGGGCCACCUUGACCCGUUUUGAACCGUCUUGACCCGCCUUUAACAGCCUUGGACUGCCUUGAACCACCUUGACCCCCUUGACCUGCCUUGGACCGCCUUGACCCUCCUCGGCCUUGCUAGGCCCACCUAGGGUAGCCAACGGGACACCAAGACCCACCUAGGGCCACUUAGAGGUUGCCUUGACCCUCCUUGGCCUUGCUAGGCCCACCUAGGUCCAUUAAGGAGGCGCCAAGACCCACGUGGGGCCUCCUUGACCCAUCUAGGCACUGCCUAGGGCCGCCAUGGGGCCACCUUGACCCACCUUGAAUCGCCUUGGGCUGCCUUUACCCUCCUAGACCCGCCUAGGGCCGCCUUGACACGCAUAGAGCCGCCUUGACCCGCCGUGGGCCGCUAUGGCCUGCCUUGAACCACCUUGAACAGCCUUCACCCGCUAUGGCCCGCCUUGAACCGCCUUGGGCGUCCUUGACCCGCCUUACCCGCCAUAGGCCGCCAUGGCCCGCCUUAACCCACCUUGACCCUGCUAGGCCGACCUAGGGUAGAAAAGGAGGCGCCAAGACCCAUCUAGGGCCGCCUUAACCCGUCUUGGGCCGCCUUGACACUCCUCGACUCUUCUAGACCCGCCUAAGGCCGCCUCGACCCGCUUUGACCCGCCUUGGGCCACCUUGACCCGCCUUGGGCCGCUAUGGCCCGCCAUGAACCGCCUUCACCGGCCUUGAACCGCCUUAGGGCUCGUUGACCCGCCUUAGGCCACCAUGGCCCGGCUUGGACCGUCUUGAACCGCCUUGAACUGCCUUAACCCUCCUAGACCAGCCUAGGGCCACCAUGACUCGCCAAGGGGUCGCCAUGAUCCUCUUAGGCCCGUCAAGGGGCGCCAAGGGGCCGGCUUAACCCGCCAUGGCCCGCCUUGACCCGUCUUUGCCCUCCUUGACCCACCUAUGGCAGCUAAGGGGGCGCAAAGACCCACCUAGGGCCGUCAAGGGGCCGUCUUGACCCAUNNNNNNNNNNNNNNNNNNNNUCCUUCACCUGCCUUGACCCGCCUUGGGCCGCUAUGGCCCACCUUGAAGCGCCUUCCCCCCCCCCCCCCUUUCGAACCGCCUUGGGCCUCCUUGACCCGCCUUAGGCCGCCAUUGCCCACCUUGAACCACUUUGACCAGCCUUGAAUAGCCUUGAACCGCCUUGGACCGCCUUGGACCGUCUUAAACCGCCUUGCACCGCCUUAACCCUCCUCAACCCUACUAGGCUCACCUAGGGUAGCAAGAGGCGGCCUUGCACCGCCUUGAUUCGCCUUAGACCGUCUUGACCCUCCUCGACUCUUCUAGGCCAACCUAGGGUAGCCAAGAGGCGGCCAAGGGGGCGCCUUGACCUGCCUUGGACCGUCUUUCCGGCUUGACCCUCCUAGACCCUCCUAGGGCCACCAUGAAGUCACCAUGACUCGCCAAUGGGUCGCCAUAACCAUCUUAGGCCCGUCAAGGGGCUAUCUUAACCCGCUUUGACCCUUCUCAGCCCGGCUAGGCCCACCUAGGGCGGCCAAGGGGGCGUAAAGACCCACCUAGAACUGCCAAGGGGCCGCCUUGAACAGCUUUGGACAGCCUUGACCCGCCUUAGUCCGCCUUGAACCGCCUUGGACCGCCUUGACCCGCCUUGGACCGCCUUGAUCCUCCUUGGGCCUUCUUGACCUGCCUUGACCCGCCUUGGGCCGUUAUGGCCCUCCUUGGACCGUCUUGAACCGCCUUGGGCCUCCUUGACCCGCAUUAGGCCCACCUCGAACCGCUUUGAACCGCCUUGACCCGCCUUGAACCGCCUUGGACUGCCUUGACCCGUCUUGAGCCACCUUUGCCUGCCUUAGGCCGCUUGACCCGUCUUGAACCGCCUUUACCUUCUUUGGCCCACUUUGGGUCGCCUUUGCCCGCCUUGGGCUGCCUUAACCCUCCUGAACCCGCUUAGGGCCACCAAGACGCCGCCAUGACUGGCCAAGGGGUUACGAUGACCCUCAUAGGCCGGUCUAGGGCCGGCAAGGGGCCGCCUUAACCCGCCUUGGCCCGCCUAGGGAAGCCAAAGGGGCGCCAUGACCCAUCUAGGGCCGCCACGAGGAUGCCUUUACACACCUUAACCCUCCUAGCCCCGCCUAGGGCCACCUUGACCCGUCUUAGAACGCCUAGAGGCCGCCUUGACCCACCUUGACCCUCAUAGGGCCGCCUUAACCCUCAUAGACCCGCGAAAGGGCCACUUUGACACGCCUAGGGCCGCCAAGGGGACGUCAUGACUCAUCAACGGGCGUCCUAUACACGCCCAGGGUUGUUUUGAACUCCCUAGGGCCCGCCAUGACCCGCAUAUGGCCGCCAAGCCAAGGGGCUCCCUAGGGCCGCCAAGCCAAGGGGAAACCUUGACCCGUCUUGGCUCGCCUUGAACCGCCUUGACCCUCUUUGGACAGCCUGAACCCGGCUUGACCCGCCUUGGGCACCUUGACCCGCCUUGGGCACCUUGACCCGCCUUGAACCACCUUGGGCCACCAAGAAGCCGCCAUGACCCUCUUAGGCCCGUCUAGGGCCGCUAAGGGACCGCCUUAACCGGCUUUCUCCUGUCUUAGUCCUUCUAGGCCCACCUAAGCCAUCCAAGGGGGUGCCAUGACCCACCUAGGGCUACCAAGGGGCAGCCUUUACAAGCCUUGACCCAUCUAGGGCCGCCAAGGGGCCGGCUUGACACACCUAUGGCCGCCAAAGGGACAUCUUGACACGCCAAGAAGCCGCCAUGACCCGUCAAGCCGCCUAGGGGUUGCCUAUGUCCGCCAUAGGGUCACAUUGGCCCACCUUGACCUGUCGUGGGCCGCCUUGACACGCCUAGGGCCGCCAAAGGGACGUCUUGACACUUUAAGAAGCCGCCAUGACUCGCCAUGACCCGUCAAGCGGCCUAAGGCCGCCAAGGGGCUGCCUACGUCCGCCACGGGGUUACCUUAACCCGCCUUGACCCGUCUUGGGCCGCCUUGACCCGCCUUAGGCCUCCUUAACCCUCCUAGACCAGCAUAGGGCCACUAAGAAGCCGCCUUAACCCGCCUUGGAAUGGCUUAGGCCGCCUUGACCUGCAUGGGGCCGCCUUUAACCACCUUGGGUCGCCUAGACCCUUCUAGACCCGCCAUGGGGACACCUUGACCCGCCUUUGCCUGCCUUGACCCUCCUAGACCCUUCUAGACCCGCCUAGGGCCGCCUUGACCAUCCUAGACCUGCCCAGGGCCGCCAUAGGGACACCUUGACCCGCUUUGGCACGCCUUUGCUUGCCUUGAACCAGCUUGGGCCGCCUUGACCCGCCUUAUCCCGCCUUGGGCCGCCAUGACCCGUUUUGACCCGCCUUGGGCUGCCUUGACAAGUAUUGGCUUGCUUUGGGCCGCCUUUGCCCACCUUUACUAGCCUUGGCCUGCUUUGGCCAGCCUUUGCCCGCCUUUACUCGUCUUGAACCAGCUUAGGCAGCCUUGGAUUGCCUUUGGCCGCCUGUUGAAAUUGGUGUUUAAUUGGUAUUUAGUGACUUUUUAAGUUUAUGUUCUCUUCAAUUCUUCUCAUAUUGACAUUGGAAACAUUUGUUUCAAAAGAAAAUGAGGUAUUGUCCCUCAUUUCAAGUUUCACCCAAUUCGAGCCAAAACCCGUGGCUAUAUAUAACACACGAGUUUCUAGCGUGUUUCACUUUUUUGGGCCACCGGCUUUUUCCGUUCUGGUUGACGUGUCGCGUAACCGGGGUCAAACAACUUCAAUUUAAUUACCCUGCAAUCAUAGUAAUAUGGACAAGUAGGGAUCGUUCUAGCCAGGGAAACCAAAGGGCGAUCGAAAGAAGAGAAACCAAACAACUUAUAAACAAGUAUUCACAUAUAUACAUCGAAAUAUUGGGGGUUUAAGAUUGAUUAAUUCUAACAAAUAACCUAUUGAAAAUUAAACCUAAGAUUAUUAUAUACAAGUGAUCAACAUACUCAUGCAACACAUAACACGAAAAACCAUCAUGAACACAUAACAACUUCAUGCAAGGCCGGACAGCAACGUUCAAAUUAUCCUAGACUCUAACAAAUUCCAAUUCUAAUUAGAGCCUUUGCGGUUAUCUAAUUGUUAAGACUCCUCAAGUAUUUAGAACCAUCUGUGCGCUUGAUCCUAAACAUGAAUGCUAAGUUAAUAAAUGCUAACUCAUUUAUUAAACAUGAAUCCUAAACAUGAAUGCUAACUCAUUUAAAGACACGUUGCGUAGAGAUUAAACAAGAAAACACUUUAGCACACGAGUCAAUCGGAAACAUGAUCUAAGGCAUGGCGUCACUCAUCCUAUUAGCAUGCAAAUUAUCAGAAUUAUAUCCGCCCUAAGUUAAUAACAGAGACCAAGACAACUUUGUGUAUGAAUCGAUCCAAAAUUAUUAUGGUAGAUGAAACCGCACCUUAAGGACAACCAUGGUCGAGGCAGCCUCAAGGAUUGAUUUAGAUGCACGAAUUCAUGACAAUUAAUCAAUUAGAAAUCAAAAACACAUAAGAACAUACUACUGCCCCAAAACCUAAUUCACGAAAUCAUCAUAUAUUCAAGAAGUUACAAAUCAAAACAUAGAACAAUCAAAGAUCACAAAGAAAUCCGAAAACCAUGUUUGAUAAAUAAAACCAAAAUCGAAAAGUAUAUUACAAUAGAGUUCGAAACUAUACAGAAAAUAAUACAAGAAGCCAUGAGAAAAUCACACUUUUACAACCUUGAAAGAUUCGGCAAGUGUGGGGAAAAUCGGUGGAAGGAUGGAAUGAUUCUUAUGGUUUGUGGUGGAUGAAUAAGCUAAGUAAUUUUCUGUAUAGGGUUUGGAAGAGUUUCGGCUAUGUAAUUACAAGGGUCGAGAUGAUCUCUUCUGCCCUUGAAGUCGUGCUUUAUAUAGAGGAAAAACCCUAGAGAAGCCGGCCACAAAGUUGAAACCAAGUUGGUUUAGGUUUCCCUAGUUUUUCUCAAUUCGGCAGAAUGACCUCCGUCUGAUGAUUACGUCAUAAUUCCCUCUAGAGAAUAGGUAUUGAGGUGAUUCCAAUUGAUUUGGAAACUAGACUCCCGUAGCUCUCUAUCCAUAUCUAGCACUUUUUCUGAUUCAUUGUGAACUGUCCUGGAGAGUCCGUUGAAGUUGAGAGACGUGUAUAGGAAUUUUCCCGAAAUUAAUCAGGGUUUUCAAGACUUAGAUAUUCCUUGAUAUUCUGCCGAAUUUAGAUCUACUCCAUAUUGGACUUGGUUUGGACCUCUCCUUUCAUGGACUAGGCUUCGUGGAUCAGCUGCUUUACUUCCCUAGGUCCAUCAGGAACACUUCUCUCGGCAGGCAGUAGGCUACUCUGUUCUGGCAGUUUGACCUUCCGGCAAUGAUUCAGGCAUAACUCCAAUUCCCCUGAUUCUUUCUCAUGACUCUUCUACAUGUCACCUAAGUAUCAGAGAACUUAAAUCAAUUUGUGACAAUGUAAAAGCUUUACAGAAUCAUAAGAACAUCUCUAAGGCUCCACAAAUCGGCUUUUGACAAUUUUCUGCAUCAUUCCUCUAUGUUUAACACGUUUUACGCAUAACUCUACCAAAAACUUUCGACUCUACAUUAUGACUCUAUUCUACGACAAUAAGAGAUAAUCAAAAUACAAAUGGAGGUAAUAACAUAUUAAGAAUGUCACAUUUUAUGCUCCUAUCACUGGUGUGCUUACAGACACCUCCUAACAUAUAGUGAACCAUUCUAGCUUCAAAAAUCUGUGUCUUUUAUCAAUUUACUCGCGAUCGGGCCUAAACAAAUUCACGCGUGCCGUGUUUUGUAAAGCUGUUGAUAUUGCUGUUUUAAUUGGUAUUGAGUGACUUUUUAAGAUUAUGUUCUCUACAAUUCUUGUCAUAUUGACAUUGGAAACCUUCGUUUCGAAAGAAAAAGAGGUAUUGUCCCUCAUUUCAAGUUUCACUCAAUUCGAGCCAAAACCCUGGCUAUAUAUAACACACGAGUUUCUAGCGUCUUUCACUUUUUUUGGGCCACCGGCUUUUUUUGUUCCGGUGUGCUUACAGACACCUCCUAACAUAUAGUGAACCAUUGAAGCUUCAAAAAUCUGUGUCUUUUAUUAAUUUACUCGCGAUCGGGCCUAAAUAAACUCAUUCGUGUCGAGUUUUGUAAAGCUGUGAAAUUGAUGUUUUAAUUGGUAUUGAAUGACUAUUUAAGAUUACGUUCUCUUCAAUUCUUGUCAUAUUGACAUUGGAAACCUUCGUUUCGAAAGAAAAUGAGGUAUUGUCCCUCAUUUCAAGGUUCACCAAAUUCGAGCCAAAACGUCUUAUUACAGCACACGAGUUUCUAGCGUGUUCCACCUUUUUUGGGCCUUCGGCUUUUUCGUUCUGGUGUGCUUACAGACAUCUCCUAACAUAUAGUGAAUCUUUCUAGCUUCAAAAAUCCUUGUCUUUUAUCAACUUACUCGCGAGCAAGCUUAAAUAAACUCACACAUGCCGUGUUUUAUAAAGCUUUUGAAAUUGCUGUUUUAAUUGGUGUUGAGUGACUUUUUAAGAUAAUGUUCUCUUCAAUUUUUGCCAUAUUGACAUUGGAAACAUUCGUUUCAAAAGAAAAUAAGGUCUUGUCCCUCGUUUUAAGUUUCACCUAAUUCGAGCCAAAACUCAUUGCUAUAGCACACGAGUUUCUGGCAAGUUUCACUAUUUUUGGCCACUGUCUUUUUCCGUUCGGGUGUGCUUACACACCUCCUAACAUAUAGUAAACCAUUCUAGUUUUAAAAAUCCGUGUUUUUUAUAAAUUUACUCGCGAUCGGGUCUAAACAAACUCACGUGUGCCGUGUUUCUAGCCAGUUUCAUUUUUUUUUAAAAUCUCCGAUUGUUCCGUUUGAGUAUGCUUAUAGACACCUCCUAACAUCUUUUAAACUGUUCUAAUGACAUUUAUGUUUUCCAGUAGUGUUCAUAUGGUCACCUAGUUACCAAAAAAAUCAUGAUUAAUCAACGUUAGAUGUAAAUCGAAAAGUAAAAAACAAAACAACUCAACUUUAAAAUAAUACUUCCCAGCUUAGAUUUACAACAUAUUUCUUUCAAUUCUUCUUAUUCCGACAUCCGGAAGCUUAAUUUUCAAAGAAAAUAAGGUAUUGCCCCUCAUUUUAAGCUCAUGUUGUCUUCAAUUCUUCUCAUACGGUAAUGCCUACCUCAAAGAAC